AUACUGUGGAGCAAAACCACAAUAAAAAAUGGGCGAUACCGAAAAGCCUUAUGAGUAGGGAUAAUA
rfam:Bacteroidetes bacterium GWF2_33_38 gwf2_scaffold_265, whole genome shotgun sequence.